GGGUCAGUAGGUUGGUCGUGCCACCGGUACGUACUGGUCUCACUGACUCCUCCUUCCUGAAGAACCGUAAUGCCAUUAAUUUGGUGUUGCGGGGAAACAGGACUAUUACUUUGAAAAAAUUAGAGUGUUUAAAGCAAGCUAACGCUUGAACACCUUAGCAUGGAAUAAUGAAAUAGGACGAUCGAUCCUAUUUUGUUGGUUUCUAGGAUUGACGUA
rnacentral:rRNA from 1 species